AGGGGCUGACGCCUGCCCGGUGCUGGAAGGUUAAGUGGAAGUGUUAGAGUAAUCGAAGCUCUGAAACGAAGCCCCAGUAAACGGCGGCCGUAACUAUAACGGUCCUAAGGUAGCGAAAUUCCUUGUCGGGUAAGUUCCGACCCGCACGAAAGGCGUAACGAUUUGGGCGCUGUCUCAACGAUGGACUCGGUGAAAUUGUAGUACCGGUAAAGAUGCCGGUUACCCGCAGCAGGACGGAAAGACCCCGUGGAGCUUUACUGCAGCUUGGCACUGGACAUUGGUAUAUCAUGUACAGGAUAGGUGGGAGACUGCGAAGUAUGCACGCUAGUGUGUAUGGAGUCGUUGUUGGGAUACCACUCUUGUGAUAUUGAUGUUCUAACCAUGUACCGUUAUCCGGUACUGGGACAAUGUCAGGCGGGCAGUUUGACUGGGGCGGUCGCCUCCUAAAGAGUAACGGAGGCGCUCAAAGGUUUUCUCAGAAUGGUUGGAAAUCAUUCGAAGAGUGCAAAGGCAGAAGAAAGCUUGAUUGCGAGACAUACAGGUCGAGCAAGUACGAAAGUAGGACUUAGUGAUCCGGCGGUACCGAAUGGAAGGGCCGUCGCUCAACGGAUAAAAGCUACCCCGGGGAUAACAGGCUUAUCUCCCCCAAGAGUCCACAUCGACGGGGAGGU
rnacentral:rRNA from 1 species